rnacentral:rRNA from 1 species
GACGAACGCUGGCGGCGUGCUUAACACAUGCAAGUCGAACGGAAAGGCCCUGCUUUUGUGGGGUGCUCGAGUGGCGAACGGGUGAGUAACACGUGAGUAACCUGCCCUUGACUUUGGGAUAACUUCAGGAAACUGGGGCUAAUACCGGAUAGGAGCUCCUGCUGCAUGGUGGGGGUUGGAAAGUUUCGGCGGUUGGGGAUGGACUCGCGGCUUAUCAGCUUGUUGGUGGGGUAGUGGCUUACCAAGGCUUUGACGGGUAGCCGGCCUGAGAGGGUGACCGGCUACAUUGGGACUGAGAUACGGCCCAGACUCCUACGGGAGGCAGCAGUGGGGAAUAUUGCACAAUGGGCGGAAGCCUGAUGCAGCAACGCCGCGUGCGGGAUGACGGCCUUCGGGUGGUAAACCGCUUUCGCCUGUGACGAAGCGUGAGUGACGGUAAUGGGGAAAGAAGCACCGGCUAACUACGU